rnacentral:ncRNA from 2 species
GCACAAGCGGGCCAUGCUGGUUCCUGCCGCGAGGCAGGUGAAAAGGGAAUGCGACAGGCUCAAGUGCCAAGCGCAGCCGCCCCCGCGACCGUGACCGGAGAGACCCCAUACCACUGGCAAACAGCCGGGAAGGUCGGGGUCGGGGAGAAAUCCACUCCGCAAGCCGGGAGACCUGCCAGCGAUCUGUUUUGACG